rnacentral:lncRNA from 1 species
AAGAAUCGACUAAUCCGAAGAGACCAAUCUCACCGCCCACUUGUGGGGGCUCCGUUUAAAGCCAGAGCAAGCUCUGUAUGGACUUAGCCCACCGAAAUUGGCACCAGAGAGAAUCGAACCUGAGACCUCUGAAGGAGCAAACUCCAAGAUCCCAAGCCAAAAUAUGAGUCGUUAUAUUACAAUAUAAAUGAUAGAUAAUGACAUAUUAUUCAUCAACAAAAUAUGAGUCAUUAUAUUACAAUAUAAAUGAUAGAUAUUUCGAGUCAUUUG